rnacentral:rRNA from 1 species
GACGAACGCUGGCGGCGUGCUUAACACAUGCAAGUCGAACGGAAAGGCCUCUGCUUGCAGGGGUGCUCGAGUGGCGAACGGGUGAGUAACACGUGGGUGAUCUGCCUUGUACUCUGGGAUAAGCUUGGGAAACUGGGUCUAAUACCGGAUAGGAACUGCCUUUAGUGUGGUGGUUGGAAAGUUUUUUCGGUGCAAGAUGAGCUCGCGGCCUAUCAGCUUGUUGGUGGGGUAAUGGCCUACCAAGGCGUCGACGGGUAGCCGGCCUGAGAGGGUGUACGGCCACAUUGGGACUGAGAUACGGCCCAGACUCCUACGGGAGGCAGCAGUGGGGAAUAUUGCACAAUGGGCGGAAGCCUGAUGCAGCGACGCCGCGUGGGGGAUGACGGCCUUCGGGUUGUAAACUCCUUUCGACAGGGACGAAGCUUUUUGUGACGGUACCUGUAUAAGAAGCACCGGCUAACUACGUGCCAGCCGCCGCGGUAA